rnacentral:rRNA from 1 species
UACGUAGGGUGCGAGCGUUAAUCGGAAUUACUGGGCGUAAAGCGUGCGCAGGCGGUUUUGUAAGCCAGAUGUGAAAGCCCCGGGCUUAACCUGGGAAUGGCAUUUGGGACUGCAAGGCUUGAGUUUGGCAGAGGAGACUGGAAUUCCUGGUGUAGCAGUGAAAUGCGUAGAUAUCAGAAGGAAUACCGAUGGCGAAGGCAGGUCUCUGGGCUGAAACUGACGCUCAUGCACGAAAGCGUGGGGAGCAAACAGG